rnacentral:rRNA from 1 species
AGUGAACGCUGGCGGUAGGCCUAACACAUGCAAGUCGAACGGCAGCACAGUAAUAGCUUGCUCUUACGGGUGGCGAGUGGCGGACGGGUGCGGAAUACAUCGGAAUCUACUUUUUCGUGGGGGCUAACGUAGGGAAUCUUACGCUAAUACCGCAUACGACCUACGGGUGAAAGCAGGGGAUCUUCCGCCCUUGCGCGAUUGAAUGAGCCGAUGUCGGAUUAGCUAGUUGGCGGGGUAAAGGCCCACCAAGGCGACGAUCCGUAGCUGGUCUGAGAGGAUGAUCAGCCACACUGGAACUGAGACACGGUCCAGACUCCUACGGGAGGCAGCAGUGGGGAAUAUUGGACAAUGGGCGCAAGCCUGAUCCAGCCAUACCGCGUGGGUGAAGAAGGCCUUCGGGUUGUAAAGCCCUUUUGUUGGGAAAGAAAAGCAGCAGGUUAAUACCCCGCUGUUCUGACGGUACCCAAAGAAUAAGCACCGGCUAACUUCGUG